ensembl:snoRNA SNORD30 Small nucleolar RNA SNORD30
AAUGAUGAUCACUCUGUUUGGAAUCUCGUUCGUCUGAAUUCCUGAUGAGAAUUUGUUAUGCUGACUGUU